rnacentral:rRNA from 1 species
GACGAACGCUGGCGGCGUGCUUAACACAUGCAAGUCGAACGGUGAAGCGCCUUCCUUUUUGGUGGGUGUGGAUGAGUGGCGAACGGGUGAGUAACACGUGAGUAACCUGCCCCCUUCUUCUGGAUAACCGCAUGAAAGUGUGGCUAAUACGGGAUAUUCUGGGUCUGUCGCAUGAUGGGUCUGGGAAAGAUAUUGUUUCGGUGGGGGAUGGGCUCGCGGCCUAUCAGCUUGUUGGUGGGGUGAUGGCCUACCAAGGCGGUGACGGGUAGCCGGCCUGAGAGGGUGGCCGGUCACACUGGGACUGCGGCACCGCCCGGACUGCUACGGGGCGCAGCCGUGGAGAAUAUUGCACAGUGGGCGCAAGCGUGAUGCAGCGACGCCGCGUGAGGGAUGGAGGCCUUCGGGUUGUGAACCUCUUUCGCCAGUGAAGCAGGCCUGCCUCGUUUGUGGGUGGGUUGACGGUAGCUGGAUAAGAAGCGCCGGCUAACUACGUG